AUUGAACGCUGGCGGCAUGCCUUACACAUGCAAGUCGAACGGCAGCAUGGAGAGCUUCUCUCUGAUGGCGAGUGGCGAACGGGUGAGUAAUGCAUCGGAACGUACCGUGUAAUGGGGGAUAACGUAGCGAAAGUUACGCUAAUACCGCAUACGACCUGAGGGUGAAAGCAGGGGAUCGCAAGACCUUGCGUUAUACGAGCGGCCGAUGUCAGAUUAGCUAGUUGGUGAGGUAAAGGCUCACCAAGGCGACGAUCUGUAGCGGGUCUGAGAGGAUGAUCCGCCACACUGGGACUGAGACACGGCCCAGACUCCUACGGGAGGCAGCAGGGGGGAAUUUUGGACAAUGGGGGCAACCCUGAUCCAGCCAUGCCGCGUGAGUGAAGAAGGCCUUCGGGUUGUAAAGCUCUUUCGGCCGGGAAGAAAUCGCACAGGCUAAUACUCUGUGUGGAUGACGGUACCGGCAUAAGAAGCACCGGCUAACUACGUGCCAGCCGCCGCUGUAA
rnacentral:rRNA from 1 species